GCCGAGGUAGCUCAGUGGUAGAGCAGUGGACUGAAAAUCCAUGUGUUGGCAGUUCGAUUCUGCCCCUCGGCACCA
rnacentral:tRNA from 1 species